rnacentral:rRNA from 1 species
GGAGGAAAGCAGGGGAUCGCAAGACCUUGCGCUCAUUGAGCGGCCGAUGCCUGAUUAGCUAGUUGGUGAGGUAAAGGCUUACCAAGGCGACGAUCAGUAGCUGGUCUGAGAGGACGACCAGCCACACUGGGACUGAGACACGGCCCAGACUCCUACGGGAGGCAGCAGUGGGGAAUUUUGGACAAUGGGGGAAACCCUGAUCCAGCCAUGCCGCGUGAGUGAAGAAGGCCUUCGGGUUGUAAAGCUCUUUCAGCCGGAACGAAACGGUCACGGUUAAUACCUGUGACUACUGACGGUACCGGAAGAAGAAGCACCGGCUAACUACGUGCCAGCAGCCGCGGUAAUACGUAGGGUGCGAGCGUUAAUCGGAAUUACUGGGCGUAAAGCGUGCGCAGGCGGUUUUGUAAGUCAGAUGUGAAAUCCCCGGGCUUAACCUGGGAACUGCGUUGAAAAUGGAAAGCUAGAAGGGC